UCCUUUUAUUAUUCCCGAGAAAAUCCAACCCAGCUAGACUAGCCCACCCUCCACAGCUCUUCUCCUUGUCUCCACAACACAGCUUGGCUCUCCGCCGGUUUCUGCUCAAGUGGAGAGGCCCGUCAGCUCGAUCGGCUCCAGGAUCAUGGACGACGGCGCAAGACCGGCGCCCAACCACAAGAGGCACCUCCCACUGCAGGAGGCGGGCGGCGAGCUCGUGGAGCUGCUGUGGCAGGACGGGGCCAUCGUAGCGCAGGCGCAGGCCCAGACGCCGCACCGGCGGUGCCCCCAGAGCGGCGCGGCCAGCGGCGUCACCGCGGAGGAUGCGUCCGCGUGGUUGAUCCCGGACGGCGGCGGCGGCGGCAGGGACCUGUACUCGCACCUCUGGCACGGCGUCGCCGACGGGGACGCGGGCGCGCUCGUGGCGGGGAGCGGCGCCGGGACGAGCUUCUGCGGGAGCAACGCGGUGACGGCGCCGGCGCUGCUGCCGUCGCCGGAGGAGGAGCCGGGCUCGUCCUCGGCGGGAGGCCAAGCGCUACUGUCUAAGAGGGGAAGGGACGAACUGGGUAGCCGCCGCGAGGAUGCCGACGACUGUGAGGCCGUCAAUGAGACCCGGCCGCAGCGGCCGGCGGCAAAGCGAAGGACUCGUGCUGCCGAGGUCCAUAACCAAUCAGAGCGGAAAAGAAGGGAUCGGAUCAACGAAAAGAUGAAAGCAUUGCAAGAACUCGUACCCCAUUGCAACAAGAGCGACAAGGCGUCCAUCCUAGACGAAGCAAUCGAGUACUUAAAGUCUCUGCAACUGCAAGUUCAGAUCAUGUGGAUGGCUACUGGGAUGGCGCCCAUGAUGUACCCUGGUGCUCACCAACUCAUGCCGCCGAUGGCCAUGGGCUUGAACUCAGCGUGCAUGCCCGUGGCGCAGAGCCUUAGCCAGCUGCAAAGAGUAGCACCGUUUAUGAACCAUCAUCUCCCAAAUCAAAUGCCUAGGGUCCAAUCUCCAGCUAUGGAUUCCCUCAAUGUGGGAAACAAUGGUGUCUGUGGUGAGCCAAGAAACCCUUUCCUGCAUCCAGGCAACACACUAACAGCAGCAUCUCAGCUGCCUGAUAUGUUUCCCUAUGCAUCUCAAAAGGCACAACAAAACCAGAAUCAUCAGUUACUGCCUAACACUGACAUGCCAGCUUCAGGACCCUGCCCGCCAUCUUUUGCUGACGGAACUGGAACAUAAGACCAGGCAGUUUCAAGCAAGAUGAUUUACUGAUUGGUCAUCUAUCUAUAUGAUAAUAUAAGAUGCCAAGGAAACACAGACAUGUCUGCCACAUCCCCAACCAACGGCCAGAAUAACUCGCAGGAAGCAAUAAAAUACUGGGGGGUGGAUACAGGAGGUCAGAGCAAAAUGGUCCUAGAAGAACAAGAUAUGAUAUGAUACCAAGACGCUGUGUGCUGUAAGGCCAGGGGAAGAUCAUGCAACACUGAGCCUUCGUGGCACCACUAAGCAACCAACAUGUAUGGGCCCGAGAUCAUGCUGAUAGCAGAUACUAUUCUUAUCUGGAGAAUAGUCUUGAGCAUCAGCUUUCUGUUUAUGGAAGGAUUUGGUCCAUGGGAGAUGAACUUGGGCUUGACAGGGACAACAAAGAUGCUUCUGCUGAUAUGCUGCAGAUCUGGAGAUGACAUUGUUGGAGCCAGCAUCCGCACAGGGAUACAACUUGGGCAGUUCUGUUCGGCUUUCCACCGAUGUAACUCCACUGGUGAGACCUAAUAGGACUGUCCUGUUGACCUGCGGUCGACGAUUGAGCUAUCGAUAUAAACAAGGGCAGGCAGGAACUUGUGCUUUUCGGACACCAUUGUAGAUCAGGUUUGCAUAUGCCUUUGAGAAUUCAGACAAGUGGCACAUGAAGAUCAUUCUUCAUUGUUCAUCAGGAUUGCGAGAUUAUCGGCUUAUUUUGUGUGUCGCCCACCUUUUCGCCUUACCCUUAACCCUGGAAAGAUUGUACCACAUGUGGUGAUGCCCUGUUACAAGUUCAUCAGGACUGUGACGGUCAUCAUCCGUUUCGUCACAGAGUAAUUAGUCUCUGAAAUUAUCAAUGCAGCUGCAUCUUUAUUGUGCUAA